UUGGCAGAAAGUUCAGCCUCUAAUGUAGUAUCACUGACAUCCACCACUGUGGAUAAACAGAAUAAAAUAGGAGACAUUCCUUUUGGAGCAGCCCUCAUACAUGCAUUUAAUGGAACAAAGACAUGCCUAGAAAAUGUUUUCAGUGUCAAAAGAUUCCACCUUACCCAGUUAAGUUAACUGUCUGGCCUGCCUAAGCUUCUUGAAAUGGGAUCCUGCUCAUGUAGGAUCAGAAGUUACCAUUCCUAGCAAACUAUAGAUCAGUCCUAUAAAGACUAGUGUUCGUAUUUAACCAAAUAAUAUUUGUAUACUUAGGCAUACAAACACCUUCUGUAGCUCCAGGACUAACUAUAUGAAUUAUACUCAGAUGUAACAUGGACAACUGCAAUUUUUUUUUAAACUCCAGCAGGAACUCAUGUUGGUUGAACAUUAAUAUACAACAUUAUCAUAUCUUCACAGAUUGUAUUGCAGCAAAGAAGUAGAAAAGGAAGGUCAAAGAUGGGAAACUUCUAAGCAGCACUUUAAUAAACAAAUAAAGGUACAGAAUCAUUGAAGUCACUGAUGUGGUUUGCAAGUUGUCUCAUUCUGUGCUGUGAAUCAAUCAAGCUGCACAAGGGGUCAGUGAAUCAGUACACCACUCUACUUUGUGGGACCUCAGGGAUUCAAGGAAUGUCGAUCCAUGGUCCUAUUCCACUGAGGCCACAGCAUCCACAGUGUUGUCAUAAGAACUGCUUCAGAAAAAUUCUUAAAGAUACAAGUUCACAAAUAAAUUUUCAACUUUCA